AUCAGAUUCAAUCUCGGAUGAAGGAGAAAUUGGAAGAAACAUCUGGCUCCUUCGCAGAUGCAUUUCGAAGAAGGAAUUUUGAUGAAGCUGUGACUUGUAUGCAGAGGAUGACUUACUAUCAGCGUGCAAGUGAAGAAAUUUUAAAGAAGCUUUGAUUGAGGUUCAUGCUGCUCUUGCAAUGUUAUUAUGGGAUUUGCAACCUUAAAGAUUAAGGAGAUGGUAACAACGGAUGUAUGAUAUGAUUGAACAUGUGGUUGAAGGCUUCUUAAUAAUAUGCAAGUUAAAACACACA